rnacentral:rRNA from 1 species
AGAGUUUGAUCCUGGCUCAGGAUGAACGCUGGCGGCGUGCUUAACACAUGCAAGUCGAACGGAGAUUAUACGCAGAGGCGAUUUCGGUCAAAUCAUGUAAAAUCUUAGUGGCGGACGGGUGAGUAACGCGUGGGUAACCUGCCUUACACUGGGGGAUAACACUUAGAAAUAGGUGCUAAUACCGCAUAAGCGCACGAAGCCGCAUGGAUUUGUGUGAAAAACUCCGGUGGUGUAAGAUGGACCCGCGUCUGAUUAGCUUGUUGGCGGGGUAACGGCCCACCAAGGCGACGAUCAGUAGCCGGCCUGAGAGGGUGGACGGCCACAUUGGGACUGAGACACGGCCCAAACUCCUACGGGAGGCAGCAGUGGGGGAUAUUGGACAAUGGGGGGAACCCUGAUCCAGCGACGCCGCGUGAGUGAAGAAGUAUUUCGGUAUGUAAAGCUCUGUCAGCAGGGAAGAAAGAAAUGACGGUACCUGACCAAGAAGCCCCGGCUAACUACGUGCCAGCAGCCGCGGUAAUACGUAGGGGGCAAGCGUUAUCCGGAAUUACUGGGUGUAAAGGGAGCGUAGACGGUUAAGUAAGUCUGGAGUGAAAGGCCGGGGCCCAACCCCGGGACUGCUCUGGAAACUAUUUAACUUGAGUGCAGGAGAGGUAAGCGGAAUUCCUAGUGUAGCGGUGAAAUGCGUAGAUAUUAGGAGGAACACCAGUGGCGAAGGCGGCUUACUGGACUGUAACUGACGUUGAGGCUCGAAAGCGUGGGGAGCAAACAGGAUUAGAUACCCUGGUAGUCCACGCCGUAAACGAUGAUUACUAGGUGUCGGUGGGUAUGGACCCAUCGGUGCCGCAGCAAACGCAGUAAGUAAUCCACCUGGGGAGUACGUUCGCAAGAAUGAAACUCAAAGGAAUUGAC